GACGAACGCUGGCGGCGUGCUUAACACAUGCAAGUCGAACGGAACACCCUUGACAGAGGUUUCGGCCAAUGAAGAGGAAUGUUUAGUGGCGGACUGGUGAGUAACGCGUGAGGAACCUGCCUUUCAGAGGGGGACAACAGUUGGAAACGACUGCUAAUACCGCAUAAAACAUUUGGGUGGCAUCACUUGAAUGUCAAAGAUUUAUCGCUGAAAGAUGGCCUCGCGUCUGAUUAGAUAGUUGGUGGGGUAACGGCCUACCAAGUCGACGAUCAGUAGCCGGACUGAGAGGUUGACCGGCCACAUUGGGACUGAGAUACGGCCCAGACUCCUACGGGAGGCAGCAGUGGGGAAUAUUGGGCAAUGGACGCAAGUCUGACCCAGCAACGCCGCGUGAAGGAAGAAGGCUUUCGGGUUGUAAACUUCUUUUAAGGGGGAAGAGUAGAAGACGGUACCCCUUGAAUAAGCCACGGCUAACUACGUG
rnacentral:rRNA from 1 species